rnacentral:rRNA from 1 species
AAUGCCUACGGGAGGCAGCAGUGAGGAAUAUUGGUCAAUGGACGGAAGUCUGAACCAGCCAUGCCGCGUGCAGGAUGGCGGCUCUAUGAGCUGUAAACUGCUUUUGUACGAGAAUAAUAGUUCUUACGUGUAGGGAUUUGAAUGUAUCGUACGAAUAAGGAUCGGCUAACUCCGUGCCGGCAGCCGCGGUAAUACGGAGGAUUCGAGCGUUAUCCGGAUUUAUUGGGUUUAAAGGGUGCGUAGACUGUCGGAUAAGUUAGAGGUCAAAUGUCGGGGCUUAACCCCGUGCCUGCCUCUGAUACUGU